GCAAGAAUUGGAUUGAGAAUCAAUGCGACGAAGACGAAGUAGCUGCUUGCCAGUGACUCAGACCAUCUGGGAAGCAAUGUAAUAGUUGACAAUGUAAUUGACAGUUUCGAGGUGGUAAAGGAGUUUUGCUAUCUCGGGACAGUCGUUACAUCGGACAACAACAUCAGCAGCGAAAUCCGGAGACGCAUUGUGCAGGGGAAUCAUGCAUACUAUGGGCUUCACCGACCUCUAUGGACAGUAGUAUUAGACCGUUCGAGUAGAGGAUGCAUACGCUCUGGGUGUGUUUGAGCGACGCAUCCUCCGAACCAUCUUUGGCGCUGUGUUCGAGCAUGGAGCGUGGAGGAGAAGGAUGAACCAGGACUGUACGGCACACCGAGCAGCCUAAUGGUGGCGAAGGCUGGGACAUGUUGUGAGGAUGCCCCAUUCAUGUCCCAUCAAGAAGGUGUUCGACAGCGAUCUCCAUAUCAGCAUAAGGUGCAGAGGAGCACAGCGAACUCGAUGGCUGGAUCAAGCGAAGUGAGACCUGUUGGAGAUUGGGUUUUUACAUGGAUGGAAGGCUGCAGCCAGGGACCGGGCAUCCUGGAGAAUUAUUGUUGACCGGGCCAAGUCACAUCGACGUGCUCUAUCGUGAGCAGACCAACAAGAGAGAAAGAGAGUUACGGCCGAGCAAGAUACAGUAAUCGGACACCACUUGCUACCAAGGGGCUCAUAAACACCUGCUACUCCACAAGAUGCUUACCAAGUUGCUAUGCUAUCAACGAGAAGAAAAAAGAAAAUUUGCUGAAAAACUGACUUAAUCUUCAGCGACAAAAUGUACGAGAUCCGGCAAAUGAGAUACAUCAGAGCAGUGUCGAUGAUCUAAUUCAACGCGGUUUGGCGCGACUGGCAGUCUCAUCAUCAGAGAGCGACAGUGUGUCAUCGAAGCACACACACACACACACAACCUGCAUGCGAAAUGUUACCUGCCGCACAUGUAUCGUCGAACUGGCUGUGUCGAGCAGAAGCAUUGCCGCAGCUCCCGCAUGAGGAAGGAUUGAAUUUGUGGAGCUGAAAACUUGAUUUCGAGUGGUUGCGAGUAGCUUCGACUGUCCGCACUCAGCACCGGCUGGCCGUCGACACCGGGCGUACCGUCGAAGUUCGUCUCGAGCA